AAGGGCACCACAAGAACGCGUGGAGCAUGUGGCUUAAUUUGACCCAACGCGGGAAAUCUUACCGGGUCCGGACACACUGAGGAUUGACAGGCAAUAUCUGAGUUAACAUCUCUGUAUGUUUCUCAGUGUUAAAUAUGCUAGUCCUUUCAUGAUUAUGUGAUAGGUGGUGCAUGGCCGUUCUUAGUUCGUGGAGUGAUCUGUCUGCUUAAUUGCGUUUCACUAAGGUUCUAUAUUUUAUGCAUGUUGUCAGCGCAUUGACCCCUCGUUUUCUUUUCUAAGAUUACGUAGCGUGUGUCUUUGAUUACGUCUGGCUCGUGCGAUUAGAACCUGAAAGCAACGAACGUGACCG
rnacentral:rRNA from 1 species